CCCGCUUCCUCUUCAUACUCUCCAGCCUCUAUCCAAGCUUUCGCAGAAUUCCCCCAAUUCAUACAGUAGAAACCCUAAUCUCUAAUUUGUGCAAUUUCCAGUUUUAACCACGCACGAUGCACCCCGGGCUUCUCUGAGAGUACUUUCACUGAAGAAGAAAGCCCCAAUGGUCGUGCUAAAACGUCGCCGUCAAGUGUUGCAGUUUAGCCUCGCUUUACUCCACGGCUUUUCUGUGUCAAAUCGACCGCCACAUCUCCCACAAAAACCCUAAAUCUUUUCAUCAAUUUUCAGUAGCGUACGAUCCGAUGCGCCUCGACACACCUUAAGCCUGUUUUUGAACAAUCUCCGAAAACAGAGCUAGUCAUGGAGGCGCAGAUCCUAUUGCGGUGUCAAACGUGGGGGUUUUUCUCUUCUCAUAGUUUUGCCUCUAAAAACGUCCGCUAAAUUUUCAGAAUUUCGAUCUGUUAUGUAUUUUGAUAUUGUUUUGUGAAAUUUUGGCGAUGAUUACAAAUUAUCCGCGCUUCUGAGAGCAAUCGAUGAAGUAGAAUGUGAUAAUCAAUGGUUGAAUUUCUUGAUAUGAGCCAUUUAAGUUUUUGAUUUGCUGAUUUGGGUCGGUGAUAUUUUUGGGUUUUGUUGAUUAAUGUUGGCGGUGAUGACUAAAUUUUACAGCUUUAUGCCAGUUCUGCUUCAGAAAAUUCGUGAUUGAGAGAGCUGUUUCAUACUCUGAGCCUUCAGUUUAUUAAUUUGAUUUUGUUUUUCUUUAGUGUUUUGGAUUUCUGUGUUUUUGGUGGUGCCGAUGACGAUUCAAUCCGCUUGUUUGAGGUGCAGUGGAAUUGAGACCCUGUUUACAGGGAGAACCCCUCAGUGACACUGCAUUCAUAUGAAUUCAAUGGAUUUAGCUGAGGCCUCACCCUGUCUCCAUUGGGGAGUACCCUAAAAAAAGGAACCCUUCCUCUCCCAGCGUUUUCGGGUACGUCCGUGAAUUCUCUUUGUCAAUGGUUUUGGUUUUUGAAUUGUUCCCAGCUGAUCUUUUUGUUGUUGGAGGAUUUAGAUUUUGUAGUGAGUAAUUAGUUUGCAGGAGUACCAAGUGGUACAAACAAGCAUGGAAACAAGAGGAUGAUUGGUGGAGAAAAUGGCGCGUGGAAAUCAUGACCUUGGAUUCGUCAUGUGUGGAUGGGUUUAUGUUGUACAAUCUUUUGACUGGAAUUCAGACCAAAAACAGACAUGUAAUUGUAAAUGAAUGUUGUUGUAAGCUGUGUGGAAAAUUGGAAUUUGAAAAUUAUCAACGUAUCUCUGUUUUUGUAUCAAUUUUAGUUGGUAAAACUUGUAUGAUUAUUAACAUCAGUUAAGCUCAAAACCUCUUGAACCGAGGGAUUCAUGCU